AGUCAAGUAAUUAAGUGCAUGUGGUGGAUGCCUUGGCAGUCAGAGGCGAUGAAAGACGUGAUAGCCUGCGAAAAGCUCCGGGGAGGCGGCAAAUAUCCUUUGAUCCGGAGAUGUCUGAAUGGGGGAACCCACCUACUUUAAGGUAGGUAUUGCAACAUGAAUACAUAGUGUUGCAAGGCGAACGAGGGGAAGUGAAACAUCUCAGUACCCUUAGGAAAAGAAAUCAAUUGAGAUUCCCUCAGUAGCGGCGAGCGAACGGGGAUCAGCCCAUUAAGUUAUGUGUGUUUUAGUGGAACGCUCUGGGAAGUGCGAACGUAGAGGGUGAUAUUCCCGUACACGAAAGGGCACACAUAAUGAUGACGAGUAGGGCGAGGCACGUGAAACCUUGUCUGAAUAUGGGGGGACCAUCCUCCAAGGCUAAAUACUCCUGACUGACCGAUAGUGAACCAGUACCGUGAGGGAAAGGCGAAAAGAACCCCUGUGAGGGGAGUGAAAUAGAUCCUGAAACCGCAUGCAUACAAGCAGUGGGAGCACCUUCGUGGUGUGACUGCGUACCUUUUGUAUAAUGGGUCAGCGACUUAUAUUCAGUAGCGAGGUUAACCGUAUAGGGGAGCCGUAGAGAAAUCGAGUCUUAAUAGGGCGUUUAGUUGCUGGGUAUAGACCCGAAACCAGGCGAUCUAUCCAUGAGCAGGUUGAAGGUUGGGUAACACUAACUGGAGGACCGAACCCACUGUCGUUGAAAAGCCAGGGGAUGACUUGUGGAUAGGGGUGAAAGGCUAAUCAAGCCUGGUGAUAGCUGGUUCUCCCCGAAAGCUAUUUAGGUAGCGCCUCGGACGAAUACCAUAGGGGGUAGAGCACUGUUUCGGCUAGGGGGUCAUCCCGACUUACCAAACCGAUGCAAACUCCGAAUACCUAUGAGUACUAUCCGGGAGACAGACUGCGGGUGCUAACGUCCGUAGUCAAGAGGAAAACAAUCCAGACCGCCAGCUAAGGCCCCAAAAUCAUAGUUAAGUGGGAAACGAUGUGGGAAGGCAUAGACAGCUAGGAGGUUGGCUUAGAAGCAGCCACCCUUUAAAGAAAGCGUAAUAGCUCACUAGUCGAGUCGGCCUGCGCGGAAGAUGUAACGGGGCUAAAACUAUGUGCCGAAGCUGCGGAUGUAUACUUUGUAUACGUGGUAGGGGAGCGUUCUGUAAGCCGAUGAAGGUGUGUUGAGAAGCAUGCUGGAGGUAUCAGAAGUGCGAAUGCUGACGUGAGUAACGACAAAACGGGUGAAAAACCCGUUCGCCGAAAGACCAAGGGUUCCAGUCCAACGUUAAUCGGGGCUGGGUGAGUCGACCCCUAAGGCGAGGCCGAAAGGCGUAGUCGAUGGGAAAAUGGUUAAUAUUCCAUUACUUCUGUGCAAUGCGAUGAGAGGACGGAGAAGGCUAAAUCAGCCUGGCGUUGGUUGUCCAGGUGAAAGGAUGUAGGCAUGUAUCUUAGGCAAAUCCGGGGUACUCUAUGCUGAGAUCUGAUAGCAAGCUGUACUUGUACAGCGAAGUGGUUGAUGCCAUGCUUCCAGGAAAAGUCUCUAAGCUUCAGUUACACAGGAAUCGUACCCGAAACCGACACAGGUGGUCAGGUCGAGUAGACCAAGGCGCUUGAGAGAACUCUGCUGAAGGAACUAGGCAAAAUGGUACCGUAACUUCGGGAGAAGGUACGCUGUUGUUGGUGAUGGAACUCGCUUCCUGAGCUGACGACAGCCGCAGAAACCAGGCCGCUGCAACUGUUUAUUAAAAACAUAGCACUCUGCAAACACGAAAGUGGACGUAUAGGGUGUGAUGCCUGCCCGGUGCUGGAAGGUUAAUUGAUGGGGUUAGCGUAAGCGAAGCUCUUGAUCGAAGCCCCAGUAAACGGCGGCCGUAACUAUAACGGUCCUAAGGUAGCGAAAUUCCUUGUCGGGUAAGUUCCGACCUGCACGAAUGGCAUAAUGAUGGCGGCGCUGUCUCCAGCAGAGGCUCAGUGAAAUCGAAAUCGCUGUGAAGAUGCAGUGUACCCGCGGCUAGACGGAAAGACCCCGUGAACCUUUACUGCAGCUUGACACUGAACUUUGACCUUACUUGUGUAGGAUAGGUGGGAGGCUUUGAAGCUGGAACGCUAGUUCCAGUGGAGCCGUCCUUGAAAUACCACCCUGGUAAUGUUGAGGUUCUAACUCUGUCCCGUGAUCCGGGACGAGGACCGUGUCUGGUGGGUAGUUUGACUGGGGCGGUCUCCUCCUAAAGAGUAACGGAGGAGUACGAAGGUGCGCUCAGCGUGGUCGGAAAUCACGCGUAGAGUAUAAAGGCAAAAGCGCGCUUAACUGCGAGACCCACAAGUCGAGCAGGUACGAAAGUAGGUCUUAGUGAUCCGGUGGUUCUGUAUGGAAGGGCCAUCGCUCAACGGAUAAAAGGUACUCUGGGGAUAACAGGCUGAUACCGCCCAAGAGUUCAUAUCGACGGCGGUGUUUGGCACCUCGAUGUCGGCUCAUCUCAUCCUGGGGCUGAAGCAGGUCCCAAGGGUAUGGCUGUUCGCCAUUUAAAGAGGUACGCGAGCUGGGUUUAGAACGUCGUGAGACAGUUCGGUCCCUAUCUACCGUGGGCGCUGGAAAUUUGAGAGGAUCUGCUCCUAGUACGAGAGGACCAGAGUGGACGAACCUCUGGUGUACCGGUUGUGACGCCAGUCGCAUCGCCGGGUAGCUAUGUUCGGAAGGGAUAACCGCUGAAAGCAUCUAAGCGGGAAGCCUACCUCAAGAUAAGAUUUCCCUAGGACUUUAUGUCCUCUAAAGAGCCGUUCGAGACUAGGACGUUGAUAGGUUGGAUGUGGAAGCAUAGUGAUAUGUGAAGCUGACCAAUACUAAUUGCUCGUGAGGCUUGACUAUACAACACCC
rnacentral:rRNA from 1 species